rnacentral:tRNA from 3 species
UAGGAUUUAGUUGAUGAACAACAUUAAAUUGCAAGUUUAAAGGAAAUUAUUUUAAUUCUAU